rnacentral:rRNA from 1 species
AACGAACGCUGGCGGCGUGCUUAACACAUGCAAGUCGAACGAGAAAGGGGUAGCAAUACCCCCGGUAAAGUGGCGGACGGGUGAGUAACACGUGGGUAACCUGCCCUCGAGCUCGGAAUAACCCGCCGAAAGGCGGGCUAAUACCGGAUAAAGUUGCCGGUUCUUCGGGACUGGUAACCAAAGAUGGCCAAUGCUUGCAAGCUAUCACUUGAGGAGGGGCCCGCGGCCCAUUAGCUAGUUGGCGGGGUAAUGGCCCACCAAGGCAACGAAGGGUAGCCGGCCUGAGGGGGCGCUCGGCCACAUUGGAACUGAGACACGGUCCAGACUCCUACGGGAGGCAGCAGUGAGGAAUCUUGCGCAAUGGGCGAAAGCCUGACGCAGCAACGCCGCGUGGGUGAUGAAGGCCUUCGGGUCGUAAAGCCCUGUCAGGUGGGAAGAAUCGGGUGGGGGCUAAUACCUCCCGCCCCUGACUGUACCACCAGAGGAAGCCCCGGCUAACUCCGUGCCAGCCGCCGCCGUAAAAC